rnacentral:misc_RNA from 1 species
UACAGAGGCCACGAGCGUUGUCCGGAAUCAUUGGGCGUAAAGCGUCCGCAGGCGGAAUGAUGCGUCAUGUGUUAAAUCUUUGGGCUCAACCCAAAGGCCGCACGUGAUACGGUCAUUCUUGAGGGAUGGAGAGGUGAGCGGAACUCAUGGUGGAGCGGUGAAAUGCGUUGAUAUCAUGGGGAACACCGAUUGCGAAGGCAGCUCACUGGCCAUUUCCUGACGCUCAGGGACGACAGCGUAGGUAGCGAAGCGG